rnacentral:lncRNA from 1 species
UUUUUACCUCCGUUGUAGAGAAAACAGAUGCCAGAGGUUGCUGUGGAAGGACCAGGGAAACGGACUAUGAAAUUGACUUGUUCCAAGCCCAGCAAAAGAAUGGCACACAGCAGUUGUUGCCCAAGCCUGGGUGCUCCUGGUGGUCCUGCACGAUCGGCUGUGCAGUAGGCUUGUCAAGGAGAGGAUCCUCCCUGGCCUCUCCUUGGGCAGAGGAGGUGGUCCAUAAAGCUGCUCUGGAGCCAAAAUAUUGUAGUCACAUCUCGGCAGCGACCUGCCCUCAGGUGGCAUUUUCAAGUCAUGGAGAAGGUGGAGGUGAGUCCUGGCAUGGGCCAGCUUCUCCGUGACUUCCUGCAGGGCCCAGUGGGU